ACGAACGCNGGCGGCGUGCCUAAUACAUGCAAGUCGAACGAACUCUGGUAUUGAUUGGUGCUUGCAUCAUGAUUUACAUUUGAGUGAGUGGCGAACUGGUGAGUAACACGUGGGAAACCUGCCCAGAAGUGGGGGAUAACACCUGGAAACAGAUGCUAAUACCGCGCAUAACAACUUGGACCGCAUGGUCCGAGCUUGAAAGAUGGCUUCGGCUAUCACUUUUGGAUGGUCCCGCGGCGUAUUAGCUAGAUGGUGGGGUAACGGCUCACCAUGGCAAUGAUACGUAGCCGACCUGAGAGGGUAAUCGGCCACAUUGGGACUGAGACACGGCCCAAACUCCUACGGGAGGCAGCAGUAGGGAAUCUUCCACAAUGGACGAAAGUCUGAUGGAGCAACGCCGCGUGAGUGAAGAAGGGUUUCGGCUCGUAAAACUCUGUUGUUAAAGAAGAACAUAUCUGAGAGUAACUGUUCAGGUAUUGACGGUAUUUAACCAGAAAGCCACGGCUAACUACGUGCCAGCAGCCGCGGUAAUACGUAGGUGGCAAGCGUUGUCCGGAUUUAUUGGGCGUAAAGCGAGCGCAGGCGGUUUUUUAAGUCUGAUGUGAAAGCCUUCGGCUCAACCGAAGAAGUGCAUCGGAAACUGGGAAACUUGAGUGCAGAAGAGGACAGUGGAACUCCAUGUGUAGCGGUGAAAUGCGUAGAUAUAUGGAAGAACACCAGUGGCGAAGGCGGCUGUCUGGUCUGUAACUGACGCUGAGGCUCGAAAGUAUGGGUAGCAAACAGGAUUAGAUACCCUGGUAGUCCAUACCGUAAACGAUGAAUGCUAAGUGUUGGAGGGUUUCCGCCCUUCAGUGCUGCAGCUAACGCAUUAAGCAUUCCGCCUGGGGAGUACGGCCGCAAGGCUGAAACUCAAAGGAAUUGACGGGGGCCCGCACAAGCGGUGGAGCAUGUGGUUUAAUUCGAAGCUACGCGAAGAACCUUACCAGGUCUUGACAUACUAUGCAAAUCUAAGAGAUUAGACGUUCCCUUCGGGGACAUGGAUACAGGUGGUGCAUGGUUGUCGUCAGCUCGUGUCGUGAGAUGUUGGGUUAAGUCCCGCAACGAGCGCAACCCUUAUUAUCAGUUGCCAGCAUUAAGUUGGGCACUCUGGUGAGACUGCCGGUGACAAACCGGAGGAAGGUGGGGAUGACGUCAAAUCAUCAUGCCCCUUAUGACCUGGGCUACACACGUGCUACAAUGGAUGGUACAACGAGUUGCGAACUCGCGAGAGUAAGCUAAUCUCUUAAAGCCAUUCUCAGUUCGGAUUGUAGGCUGCAACUCGCCUACAUGAAGUCGGAAUCGCUAGUAAUCGCGGAUCAGCAUGCCGCGGUGAAUACGUUCCCGGGCCUUGUACACACCGCCCGUCACACCAUGAGAGUUUGUAACACCCAAAGUCGGUGGGGUAACCUUUUAGGAACCAGCCGCCUAAGGUGGGACAGAUGAUUAGGGUG
rnacentral:rRNA from 2 species